GAUGAACGCUGGCGGCGUGCUUAACACAUGCAAGUCGAACGAUGAAGCUCAGCUUGCUGGGUGGGUUAGUGGCGAACGGGUGAGUAACACGUGAGUAACCUGCCCUUAACUCUGGGAUAAGCCUGGGAAACUAGGUCUAAUACCGGAUAGGAGCGCCUACCGCAUGGUGGGUGUUGGAGAGAUUUAUCGGUUUUGGAUGGACUCGCGGCCUAUCAGCUUGUUGGUGAGGUAAUGGCUCACCAAGGCGACGACGGGUAGCCGGCCUGAGAGGGUGACCGGCCACACUGGGACUGAGACACGGCCCAGACUCCUACGGGAGGCAGCAGUGGGGAAUAUUGCACAAUGGGCGAAAGCCUGAUGCAGCGACGCCGCGUGAGGGAUGACGGCCUUCGGGUUGUAAACCUCUUUCAGUAGGGAAGAAGCGAAAGUGACGGUACCUGCAGAAGAAGCACCGGCUAACUACGUG
rnacentral:rRNA from 1 species